rnacentral:lncRNA from 1 species
CAUCCAAGCCUGAAGAAUGGUCGACCUUGAACAAUAUCCUGUCUGUCCAAGAAGGCACUCUUACCUGCAGAAGUGAAGAUCACAAGCAUAACACGUAAGAUUUUCAAAAGCUUCGGUUGGUUCAGUCUGCAACUUGGCAUCUGGAAGUGAUGUUAAUUCAAGAUACCUUAUGACUUGUAUCGUAGAUGCUACUUCCGACAUCGUACUUGUAUGUUGGCUUAAACGACAGGGUUCCUUCGUAGUAUCCAUUGAACACUUCGCCCUUUUCAGCUUCUUGAAGAAGCUGAUCUUUGCCUCUUAGCUUCUGAAACAAGACAUAAAUGUGAGGCACUGCUACAGUCUGAAUUCUGAAAACUGGCUAGUGCCAACGAACACUUACACUCUGACGAUUCUCCUCAAUCAUCUUCCUUGCAGGUAUCGAGCUUAUUCCUUCGAGUCUAUAAUUGAGAUCACCGAGCCACACUGUUAUGUCUGCGGAUUGGGCAUACGGUUUACCGU